rnacentral:rRNA from 1 species
AUUGAACGCUGGCGGCAUGCCUUACACAUGCAAGUCGAACGGUAACAGGUUAAGCUGACGAGUGGCGAACGGGUGAGUAAUGUAUCGGAACGUGCCCAGUCGUGGGGGAUAACUGCUCGAAAGAGCAGCUAAUACCGCAUACGACCUGAGGGUGAAAGCGGGGGAUCGCAAGACCUCGCGCGAUUGGAGCGGCCGAUAUCAGAUUAGGUAGUUGGUGAGGUAAAGGCUCACCAAGCCGACGAUCUGUAGCUGGUCGGAGAGGACGACCAGCCACACUGGGACUGAGACACGGCCCAGACUCCUACGGGAGGCAGCAGUGGGGAAUUUUGGACAAUGGGCGCAAGCCUGAUCCAGCCAUGCCGCGUGCGGGAAGAAGGCCUUCGGGUUGUAAACCGCUUUUGUCAGGGAAGAAAAGGUUCUGGCUAAUACCUGGGACUCAUGACGGUACCUGAAGAAUAAGCACCGGCUAACUACGUG